AUCCUUCUGUGGCUCAUGAGCACGAUGGCUGUGUGCUCACACGCAUGUGCGAGACGUGCCUCCCUCAAACCUCGUUACGACGGCGCGCGUGUGACCCGUCUGAUG